AUGAGUUGGGUUGAGAAUUGACAGCAGUAGCGAUGAGUGAUGAACUGACGAUGACACACUUUCCCAUUGUCGCAAUAAACGCUUACCAAAACACCAGCGUGAAUACAUUUCGAAAAACUCUUGAAGACAUGAUCAAUCUUGUUGCUGUGGAGGCGGCGCCUCUGAUCCCGCGGCGGCUGUAGCGGUGGUCCGGUCAAUGGUUCCAUCUUAUUUCAACAAAGCAUGGGUUUCAUGGGAAGUUAAGGAAGAUUUUCAACAGAUUAGGUUCUGAAACAGACAAAUUUGCGGUAACUCAAGCAUUCUAAUGUUGUCGAAGAUGACGAGGAAGAUCUAUAUUAGGCAACUGUUUUAAGAAAGGUAAGAAAAACUAAUGCUUACAAGUCAGUCGGUUUUUAACUGUUGUUAGUGCUUGAUUACUUUUUUGAUAAGUUUUUAAGGUUCUAGAUUCUAGAUUGCAGUAGUUUGAGUCCUUCAUUGUUGUUUUCGCAAGUGCUAGUGGGUUGUUAGUGUUUAAGUUAGUAAGACGAUUAAAGUUUCGUCAAACAAUCAAUAAAUUGUACGCAAACAAAAAUCGUCAAACCUCAUUAAUAAAUAAAUUACAGACAUAAGUUUUAUAUUUUCUCUUUGUUUUUGGUAUUUUAAAAGCUUACUUCCACUUCCUAUUUCAACCAAAUUCCUUAAUCUCAGCAGAAAGGAAGGGUAAAUGACUACCACCUCAGUUGAAUAUCACUUGUGCACUUAGGUUGUUGUUUGUUGGUACCAACUACAUGUAUGCAUUAUAGAUCACUGAUGAAUAUGAAGGCAUUAAGGCAAAACUAACUGAUAUAAAGUGUAUAGGAAAGAAAGUGCUGAAAAUUUCCAUUUUAGGCAUCCUGUAAGUUAAAAUUUGCCGACACUUAUCCAUCUUUAACAGCAUAAUGAGCAUAUAGUCAUAUACGUAGUACAUGCUAUAAUAUUAUAAAUACCGUGCAUACCUUUGUUUCCAUUCACCAGUUGUGCAUUAAAAAAUAUUUUUCAUCUUCCAGAAUCCAACAUCUUCAUAAUUACACACUUGUAGUGAUAUAACGCCCAUUCUUGAUCACAUCAGCUUCCUCAACAUAAGUAUCAUAAAAAUGCCUAUAGUCUCUCUCACGAGUCUUGCCCACGUUAGUUCGUAAGUUUUCGUUUUAUGCCUCAGGUUUUAGUUUUCAAUUAAUUUGGAAAAAUCUCCACAUAGACGUUAAUUGUUUAUUUGGGCACAUACAUUGUUAGUUGCUAAUUUAAUUUUUAUCUUCUACCCUUGUGUCAACUGUUCAGUACUAGGUAUUUAGUUGCAACUCGUUCCUCUGCUUUGGUAGUUUGGUUUCCUUGAUCAGUAAAAUGGAAUAAUUGUUGUAAUUGAGUUAAACUAACAAUUCAGGCAGUCUCCUUUGCAUCAUCGCAUGUAUAAGUGAUCAUGUGAUCAUUUUCAAUGCAACAUAUGAAAAAACAAACAAAACAAAAUGUUGCAGUUCUGCUUUUCCGCUUGCAUGAUUCAGUAGAUCGUGUUAAAGGUUCACUGUUGACUUCGUUCAUAGACAUUAUGUGCACAAAUUUCAGGUACCAUUAUAUUCUUGUUUAAGUUAGCUUGAAUGUAUAUGAACUGUUUGGGGCACCUGGCACCAACACUUAAUUUAGGAAUUUUUAACAGUAAUUUGUGAGUGUGUUGAAAUAAUAUAUGGGACUGGUUCGUAUGUAGUAUGUGUUUAUAUUUUUAUAACGGGUUUGAGGACAUUAGUGUUAAGAGCAUAUGUGCAUUCUUUGUGUGCUUGCUUGUAAUAAUUGAUCUUUCCAAAUUAAUUCCAGAAGUUUUGUUUUUUACUUAUACAAAAUGACUUAGGCUUUCCAUUUUGUGUCAAACAUAUUGAUUCUUGAGUGUAAGUAUCCAACACUUCCAUCACUACACACUCUGUAUAGAGUCAAGAUUUAGAAUCUGAAACCUUAUUGAAAAAAUUGUGUCCCUUGGAAAUAAAUCUAUUACUUUAUACUAAAACAGACACCAGGAAUGACACAUGUCACUUCCUGGUGCAAUUUUUUCCCGCCAAAAGCCUAUUUCCUAAAAUAUAUCUAUUUUAUUUAUUUAUUUAGUUUUUAUCAGUUUUUAUAAAUGGAUUAUGCAUGGAAACAAAAUAUUGGCUUACUAAAUAUGACAAUAAUAAAUACCACAUAAUAACUUGCUCAAAAUUAUAUUGAAAUAUUUUUGUCAAAUCGGUAUAUCAAUAAUAGAAAAUAUAUUUAGUCGAUAUUUGAUCAAAUUAGCAUAUGAUGCACAUAAAAUAUGUAAUACGUAAUAGGACAAAAGUUUCCUAUUAGAUGAUUAAAUGAAUAUGUUCAAGAUUUAUUAAUUAUGCAUUGGCUUUAGGAGGAGAAAUAUUUUUUUAAAACAAAUAUGGUCAAACAAUAAUUUUAAAAUAUCCGUGCAUGCACGGGAUAUAAUCUAGUCAUUCUCUAUUCAAAUGUGGAUUUCGUUUUAAUAAAAGAAUACAGGAGAAUUGUUAUGUGGUCAGAUUUGCUUUUCAAUCUUCUUGGUUGAUUAUUGUUACUAUUUUUACGAAUUGCUUGACUUUUGCUUAAUUGCUUCAAGGCCCAAACUCGGUAUAUUUUGCUGUUGCGGUUGCUGCUAAUUAAUUGUAUGCAGGCUACAGUUUUGUUUCUUGCAAAACCCGAUUGUAUUACUUGGAACACUAAUUUGGAUGAAAAUCAGCUGUUUUGGAAGGUUUACUGUUGCAUCAAUUCUACUGGCACAACUUGGAAUCUGUGUAGGAGAUUAUGGUGAUAAUUUUAAUUGGGGCGGAAUUUUACAUGGACAUGAAUGGGUUAUUGAAAUUUCACUAAUAUUAGGUAUGUUUUUAAUAAUUGUUCUUAUAUUUCUUAUUCGGCGUUUUUUCAAGAAAACGCAACAAAGCACACCACCUACUAUCCAACUCCCCAAUCUUCCCCCCGCCCAAGCCUCUGAAAAUUUUACCAACCCCUCUAAUGAAACCUAUGUAUUACGUAGAUUACCGGAAGAUAUUUAUAGGCGUUUUCCGGUAGAUACAUAUUCAACUAAACGUUGUAAUGACUUCAGUCAUGAAGAUUGUAUGAUAUGUAAUUUUCCUUUUGUUGA